GUAGGAGCCUAGCGUUAUCCGAAUUUACUGGGCGUAAAGCGCAUGUAGGCGGCCAGGUAAGUUGGCUGUGAAAUCUCCCGGCUCAACUGGGAGAGGCCGGUCAAGACUGCCUGGCUGGAGGCUGGUAGAGGGAGGUGGAAUUCCCGGUGUAGUGGUGAAAUGCGUAGAUAUCGGGAGGAACACCAGUGGCGAAAGCGGCCUCCUGGACCAGACCUGACGCUCAGAUGCGAAAGCUAGGGGAGUGAACGGGAUUAGAAACCCCGGUAAUCCUAGCUGUAAACGAUGUCGACUUGGCGUCGGUGGGGUAAAAGCCAGCGGUGCCGGAGCUAACGCAGUAAGUCGACCGCCUGGGGACUACGGCCGCAAGGUUAAA
rnacentral:rRNA from 1 species